UGCCUUCAAGGAUGCUGUGCUGGGGACU
rnacentral:piRNA from 1 species